UUUAGAUCUGAAAUCAACUGAGACCACCCGCUGAACUUAAGCAUAUCAAUAAGCGGAGGA
rnacentral:rRNA from 1 species